GGUCAUGUAAUUAUAGUAGUAAUAUUUACAAUUGCUGAAGAAAGCCGAAACAAGGAUGACCUUUUGUGUCUGUAAAUGUGGUGAAGCAAACAGGUAUGUUUGGCAGUGCCAACCUAAUUAUCUUAUCCUUAUUCCAACAUUAUCACUAGCCAAGGCAUGACAGAGCAGACUGACCAACACUUUUCUGGAAUCAUUCAAUACAUCUUCUAAAAAAAAAAAAAAAGUGAAAAGUGACUUCAAUUUAAUUUCUGCAAUACGUUAUUGAAUGCAUGGAUAGAAUAAUAAUAUAAUUGACAAGAAAAAAACCUAAGAACUAAAGUCAUAAGUUAUUACCUUCUCUCCUAUUUAUAAGGCCACAUAUUGACAAUUUGAUGAGCAUUAUUUUUUUCAUAUUAGAUGAACAAAAAUUGCAAGAAACUUAUAGCUGAAGCUCUAGUGCGCUACUAUAAUAACUUUAUCUAGGUAAAUGUCCAAAUUUAGGAAAAGGAAAAAUGGGUUAGAGAGAAGCUCUCAUCCCUCUCUAAGUUUUCUAAAUAAUCUUCCUGAAACUGCUUUCCAUUUCUCUAGGAUAUUUCCCACUUUCUUUUUUCACCGACCUGUGGACACACAAACACUCUUACCGAGAUAUAGCUUCAAAUCAAAUCUCCUCCUCUGAUCAUCCUAUGGAUGGCAUCUGUUUAGAGGCAGAAUUAGAAGAUUUGGAAGACGGUCUUGUUUAUCUUUCAAUCGAAGAUCGAAACCGCCUUUAUACACCUUGGAAGUUCUCUGUUAUAAUAAAAACUUUUGAAAGUAAAUUCACUCAACAGUAACUUAAGACUAAGUUGGAAGACUUGUGGAAGCUCCCAAAACCCCUCUUUCUUAUCGAUCUAGGGUUUGUUUUUUAAGGCAAAAUUUGAUAACCCAAAGAGCCAAUCGAUAGUUCAACAUGAUGGCCCUUGGUUUAUCGCAGAAAGCUUCUUAACGGUCAAACGAUGGGAACCCAAUUCCCCCCCCCCCCCCCCCCCAGUCAGACCCAAAUUAACUCUACUGCCAUUUGGAUUCGUCUUCCCCAGUUACCCACUGAAUUAUAUGACAUAGCCUUAUUGAAAUGGGUGGAAAGAAAACUUGGAAAAAUUCUUAAAGUAGAUGCAUGUACCCCUCCACCAUUUGGGGUUGAUACGUUUGCAUUUGCGUCCAAGUUGAUCAAGGGAAACCAGUUAAAACAUCUAUCACUAUUGGUAACCACAAGCAACAUCUCCUCUAUGAAGACAACGUGUGGAUUUUUGGGACACACAACCCAAAAUUGCAUUAAGAAGGGCACAACCGGGCACUCAACAUCAGAAUCUGUCACUUCUCGAAAGACAUUGGUGGUGGGUGUCAAAGAAGAGUAGAAAACUGUUAUGUUUGCUCGCAAAAGGAAUUCGAAGCACUUCCAGGAUGUCUCCAAAGCGGUAAUAUCUCUCAUUAAAGGCAAGAAAGCUCGGGAGGCCAUGCCAGGUAAGUCCCUUAACUCUUCUCCUUCAGAACCUAUGGCGGCUAUGAUCGAUGAUGAUUUGGCCCCCUUAGAGCAACAACACCCUUCUAGACCUCUCGGGUCUCAAAAUUAAUUGGGCAUACUUUUGCCCACAUACCCAAGGCCCAAACUCCUUCUAAAUUGGACCAUUCUACAAUUACCUCUAACCGAUUUGGGCCUAUCUUUAAUGGACUCCCAUCCCAGCCUAUUAUGAAUAGGCCCAUUUCUACUGGCUAGGUGUUAAUCUCAAGCCUAGUUGCUUUCUGGACUCAGUCCCUUUACCCGAACCCACUUUUAAGGCCAGUCAUGAUACUACUUCUAACUCCAAUAUUAAUUUUAGCAAUUCCUCCACUUUAAUUUAUGUUGAUCAUAAAAAAGAACUCUCAGCUGGGUCCCAUCCCAACGAGCUCAUCAUUACCCGUUAGGUGCCUCGAGAUAUUCUUACUUCCACGCCGGCUAAAAUAUCUUAUACUUUCCAAAGGGAUUUGAUGAAUAUUAUUAUCCAUGCAGACAGAGCAUUAAAUGCUGAUGCUCUAUCUGAAGAAACACCCCUUAGCAUCCCCUCUCCAAUUUCAAACUUAAAAAAACAAAUGAAUACCAUGCAAAUCACUUUCAUUUCCUACAAUAAGUCUUUCACCAUCUACAAAUAUGAUCACCAUGUUAACGGUACCUAUUCAUCCAACGCACACUCUGACAUCUUGGUUGGAGGUGUGUCUUUCUAAUCAAUCUAUUCCUCUCUACUUAUAGUAAUGACAAUCUACAUUCAGGACCUCAGAUGCUUAGAUCUACUUGCAAUGGAGUGCCUAAACCACGAUCUCUAAAGCUUUGGGCCAAAUGUUUGGAUGGCGACUCUUUUCCAAAUCUUCAGCUCAUCCUCCCAAUAGAACCUUACUCCGGCAAUAAUAACAAAGAUGAUCACUCUAACAAGCUUAAGUCUUCCCUUCUUUCACCCUCGAAACGCUCUUCUUUUAACUCAAAGAACUCAUUUUGUGAAUAUCAAUGGGGAAAGUCAUCCGACCAUGAUUCAUACUCUAAUAUCCCUUUUUACCCCCCUCUAGUGAGCCUGGAAGCCAUGAAAAGAGAAAAGGCCUUGACAUCCUUAAGGAAGAGUAACAGGGAGAUGAAAAACCUUCUAGCCCAACUGAGAAUCCCCAAGACCGAUGUACUCACUUUGGAAAGACCUGUAAGUCUGGACUUCGAAGGUCUUCUCCAUGAAAUAGUGAUUGUAUUGUUGCCACAAGACUUGUCAAAGCUAGAAAUAAGCCUAGGCAUGCCAAAACCUAUGAUAGGAGAAUACUACAAGGCCAAGAUCACUUCCCUGUUCAAAAAUAAAAAAUCUCUAGAAUAGCCAGGUCCCUCGGACCCUUUAGAAAAGAGAAAAUCAAUACUUAGAUAGAAUUCUCAUCCCUUCAAAGUAAUGAUGCAGAAUUGCAUAAUAUGGAACGCUAAAAGGGCAAAUAAUGUUGAAUUUAGAAGCAUUGCAAGUCUAUGGUCAGCAUUCACCAGCCUACCAUUCUUGCCCUUUUAGAGACUAGGAUUAUUGAUCACAAGAGGUUAGACGAUGAACUGGGUUUCCCUUGCUUCAUCCAAUCUUCUGCUAUUGGUCAUUUUGAAGGUAUUGUCAUCCUUUGGAAAGAUGAUUCCAUUUUCAUUAAUGAAGUAUCUGUCUCCACUAAGGCUACCGCUGUCACUGUUAAGGUUAGCUCCCAUCCCUCCUGCUGGAUCUUUAGUGUUAUUUAUGCUAGUACUGACCUCCCCCUUAAAAAGAUUUUAUGGGAUCAACUGAUAUCCAUUGCUUACACCAUUUAUACUCUUUAUAGUAACUGUUGGUUAGUGGGGACGACUUUAAUGAGAUUUUAAAAGUUAGUGAAAACUUUGGGGGUAAUAAGAUUAAUUUGACUCGGUCUAACCUUUUUUGGGAAUACAUCAAUCCAUUAUAGUCUUAUAGACCUUGGUUUCAGAGACAACAAAUACAUUUGGUCCAAUAUGAGGUAUAGAAAUAGGACUUCUCUUAUUUUAGAUAGGCUCGAUAGAUACCUUACUAAUGACCAUUGGCUUCAUUUUUUUCUAAUGUUUCAGUCCUCCAUUUGCUUAGAACCCACUCUGACCACUCUUCUCUACUCCUAACCUUUACCAGGAUAGUCCAGAACAUCCACAAACCCUUCAGAGCUGAGUCUAUGUGGUGUAAAUAUGAAGACUUUAAUAACCCUAUUUUUCAUUCCUUUUUGAAAGGUUCCAACCUUACUAGGUCCACCAUAGCCUUUGAGAAUAGUGCUAGGUCCUGGUAUAAGACUGUCUUUAGAAAUAUUUUCCAUAAGAAAAAAAAUAUCCUCGUUAGAUUAGCUGGCAUUCAGCAAUCCCCCCAUUAUCCCACCAAUUCUUUUCUACAUAACCUAGGAGUUCAUUUCACCUCUGAGUAAGUGAGUUUAGCUCUAUUUUGAAAAAAUAAGAAUGACUUUUGGAUGCUGAAGUCCUGGAUAAAUUGGCUUAUGAAGGGGGAUAUGAAUACUAGAUUUUUCCACUCCUCUACCCUCAAUAUAAGAAGAAAAGAUAAAAUCUCUCUUCUUUAAGAGAAUGGCCUCUGGAUACAUGAUCAACAUUUUAUUCAAGAAGCCAUAUUAUCCUUUUACACCCCUCUCUUUCAUUUGGAUCAUCUUACUUCUAGCAUUAGAUGUCAACCUAACCCUUCUAGCUCAGGUCCAUCCCAUCCUUAUCUCAUUCUCUGCUUGACUCUAUCCCCAGCCUACGAGAAAAAUCAAAGUUGUUGCCUUUUUCUUUAAACCCUAUAAGGCUCCUAGUACUAAUGGGUUACACCCAUUCAUAUACCAAAAGUAUUGGGACACAUUUGCCCCACUUCUUCUUGAUUUUUGUACUCAAACCUUCUUUACAGCUAUCAUGAAUCCUAGAGUCAACUCUUCUUAUAUCUGUCUCAUUUUAAAUUGUAGAAAUGCCACCACCUUAAAGAACUUUAGACCUAUUGGGCUUUGUAAUACUCAAUAUAAAAUCAUCAUGAAUCUCAUAUCCAAUAGGAUCAAACCUUUUCUCCAGUCACUCAUUGUACACAACCAAGACAACUUCUUGUCCAACAAAAGAACUUUUGACAAUGUUAUCAUUGUCCUAGAAUAUAUUGAUCACUUCAAAAAAAUGAAAGGGAAGAUCCCUCACAUGCUCUUGAAGAUUGAUUUUAAGAAGGCCUUUGACAUACUAUAAUGGUCUUUCAUUGACAGGUCAUGGCCUUUUUUAACUUUUCUUAUGGUUUAAGUUCUUCAUGUCUUGCAUCUCCACCUCCUCUAUCUCUAUUCUUAUCAAUGGUGGGUGUGCCCUUAAGUUCUUUUCUUCUAGAGGUAUAAUAUAAGAUGACCCCUUAUUUCCUUACCUCUCCAUCCUCUGUAUGGAGCUCUUGUCCAGGAGAAUCAACUAUGAAGUGGAUACUCUCAAAUUGACUCCUAUUCAUAUUACUCCUAGAGGUCUUAAACUUUCUCAGCUAUUUUUUGUUGAUGAUCUUACCCUUUUUUCUAGGGCUGAUGUGCUUAAUUGCAACAUAUUACUAGAGCUUUAGAUAGAUUUAGAAUUCAUUCUGACCAAAAAGUCAACCUUACCAAAUUCAAGGUAAUUUUUCUAAGAACUGUCAUAAACACACUCAGCUUCAUUUCUCCUCCCACCUUGGGAUUAACGCUAGCAACUCCUUUGGCAAGUAUGCGGGUUUUUCUAUUUUUCAUAAGAGACCCAAACUCCAAGACUUCCAAUUCCUCCCUGAUAACAUUCAUACCAAACUAGUCGAUUGAAAAACCCAUUUUCUCAACAUGGAUGGUAGAACUGCUUUUGCCAAGGCUUGUCUUGGCAGCAACCCCAACCAUGUAAUGCAUUAUAUUCUCCUCCCUAGGAAAAUUUAUAAGUUCGUUGAUAGAGUGCAAAGAAAUUUUAUUUGGGAUUCUACGGAUUCCAAAAGAAGAAUGCAUCUAGUUAGUUGGGACACUAUCACUACUCCCAAGAGCAUAGAUGAUUUAGGUAUGCAAAUAGCUAGCAUUAAAAAUGAUACUCUGCUAGCUAGUCUGGCCUGGAGACUCCAUUCAAAUCCCUCCUCCCUUUGGGCCCAAGUUGUUCUUAAAAAAAAAUCUCAAUUCUACUACCUCGUCCUUCACCCACUCCAAAACUUGGAAAAAAUUCAAAAAGUUUGGUCCCUUUGUCAUGAUGCUAUACAAUGGUCUAUUCAUAAUGGUCAAAAGGUUAAUGCUUGAAAAGAUAGAUGGAUUCCUCACCUUCUUUCUCUAUGUAACAUUAUCCAGGGCCCCCUUCCUAACCCUCAUCCUCCUAUGCAACUCCCCUUCUUUUGGCAUAACGAAGUCUGGAACUUGAGCUCCUUUUCUUUUGAUAUUUUCUCUACUGUAAAAUCAUGCAUUGCCAACACCUUCUUUCCCAAUAUCCAAUUCCAGUAUGAUACCCCUCUUUGGAUCCUUACUGGUAAGGGCUUAUUUUCUUGUAAAACGGCCUACCAAUUUUUAGUUGCUCAAAGACACCACCCUUCCCACAAUCAUUUAUGGCUUGAAUGGAUUUGGAAGCUUCAGCUCCCCAGUAAACUCAAAUUCAUCCUUUGGAUCCUUCAUCACAACAACCUUCCUACUAGGGCUACUUUAGCCUAGAAAGGAAUUAAUAUUCCCCCUAACUGCCACAUAUGCAAUCAGUUCUCGGAACAACUUCAUUCAUAAUUAUAGUGGCAAUAUCAACAUCAACAUCCAACUCUUCAAUCCUCCUAACUAGUAGAUUACGUGAUUGUUGUUGAAAGGCGCCAACUAUGAUAAUAACAUUGACUCGGCUUCCCUUCUCCCUUUUUGUAUAUGAACCAUUUGGAAGAAUAAAAACUUUAAUGUUUUUGAGAAUAAGACCUCUCUCCCCUCUUUCAAAGCUGCCUAUUUUGAGGCUUUUAAAUUCUAUUAUCUUAAGACCCACACUCUCUAAAAAAUUAGUGGAACUAUUAUGGUUACGUGGACCUCACCUUUUAGAAAUUUCUACAAACUUAACACUGAUGGUUCUAGCCUGAAAAAUCCGGGAAAGGGUGAUAUUGGUGUUGUUAUUAGAAACUCUAAUGGAGAUUGGGUGCUUAUUGUUUCUCAAAGCUUCAUGCAAGCUUUCAAUAAUUUUGUGGAGCUCAUGACACUCAGACAAGACCUGAAGCUUGCUUUAGAGCACAAUCUUUGCCCCAUCAUCAUUAAUAUUGACUCCGAAGAUGUUAUUGGCAUGCUUACAAAGGGCAAUUCAUUAUUUAACCCUAUCAUCCAGACUUAUAGGUUGUUGAUAAGAAGGUUAGGAGGACCUCUCAUACACCAUAUCUACAAGGAGCAGAAGAGGAUUGCAGAUACCUAACCAAAGGAAGGAGCCAAAUAGUCUUUUUUGGGGAACUGUAGAAUUUUUGUAGCCCCCCACCCCCACCCCCCAUCUUUUGUAGUCCAUGCAGUAUGAGACGAUAUGAGUGAAAAAAGUUUUUGUAAAACAAUAUGUAACACUCAAAUGACUAGGCAUAACCCUCCAAUUUUUGUGUUGGAGUCAGACUAAGCUCCACCUAUGUAUUAUAACCUUUAUUUUAAUGCGAUAUCUGGUUUUCCCCCCA
rnacentral:lncRNA from 1 species